UACGUAGGUGGCAAGCGUUGUCCGGAUUUACUGGGCGUAAAGAGCGCGCAGGCGGUCGUUCAAGUCGCGUGUGAAAGCCCCCGGCUCAACUGGGGAGGGUCACGCGAUACUGAUCGACUCGAAGGCAGGAGAGGGUAGUGGAAUUCCCGGUGUAGUGGUGAAAUUCGUAGAUAUCAAGUGGAACACCGGUGGCGAAGGCGGCCUUCUGGGCGAUGACUGACGCUGAGACGCGAAAGCGUGGGGAGCAAACAGG
rnacentral:rRNA from 1 species